GCUAGUAAUGGCAGGUCAGCAUACUGCCGUGAAUACGUUCCCGGGCCUUGUACACACCGCCCGUCACACCAUGAGAGUUGGGGAUACCCGAAGCCUGUGAGCUAACAGUAAUGGAGCAGCAGUCGAAGGUAGAAUCAAUGAUUGGGGUGAAGUCGUAACAAGGUAAC
rnacentral:rRNA from 1 species